rnacentral:rRNA from 1 species
GACGUAGGACACAAGCGUUAUCCGGAGUUACUGGGCGUAAAGGGCGUGUAGGCGGACCUAUAAGUCUAUUCUGAAAGCUCCUGGCUAAACUGGGAGAGGCGAAUGGAGACUGUAGAUCUAGAGUGAGGAAGAGGAAAGUGGAAUUCCGCGUGUAGUGGUGAAAUGCGUAGAGAUGCGGAGGAACACCAGUGGCGAAAGCGACUUUCUGGUCCUUAACUGACGCUGAGGCGCGAAAGCUAGGGGAGCAAACAGG